GACGAACGCUGGCGGCGUGCUUAACACAUGCAAGUCGAACGCUGAAGCUCAGCUUGCUGGGUGGAUGAGUGGCGAACGGGUGAGUAACACGUGAGUAACCUGCCCUCUUCUUUGGGAUAACGCCCGGAAACGGGUGCUAAUACUGGAUAUUCACUGAUUCUCGCAUGGGGGUUGGUGGAAAGGUUUUUUCUGGUGGGGGAUGGGCUCGCGGCCUAUCAGCUUGUUGGUGGGGUGAUGGCCUACCAAGGCUUUGACGGGUAGCCGGCCUGAGAGGGUGACCGGUAACAUUGGGACGGAGGAACGCCCCAGACUACCACGGGGGGCAGAAGGGGGGAAUAUUGCACAAGGGGGGAAAGCCUGAUGCCGCGCCGCCCGGGGGGGGGUGGGGGCCUUGGGGUUUUAAACCUUUUUCGGUCAGGGUAAAGCCGCAGCUUGGGGUUGUGGUGGGGGUGGGGGGAAAAGAAGCGCCGGCUAACUCCGG
rnacentral:rRNA from 1 species